AGUGAACGCUGGCGGUAGGCCUAACACAUGCAAGUCGAACGGCAGCACAGUAAGAGCUUGCUCUUACGGGUGGCGAGUGGCGGACGGGUGAGGAAUACAUCGGAAUCUACUUUUUCGUGGGGGAUAACGUAGGGAAACUUACGCUAAUACCGCAUACGACCUACGGGUGAAAGCAGGGGAUCUUCGGACCUUGCGCGAUAGAAUGAGCCGAUGUCGGAUUAGCUAGUUGGCGGGGUAAAGGCACACCAAGGCGACGAUCCGUAGCUGGUCUGAGAGGAUGGUCAGCCACACUGGAACUGAGACACGGUCCAGACUCCUACGGGAGGCAGCAGUGGGGACUAUUGGACAAUGGGCGAAAGCCUGAUCCAGCCAUACCGCGUGGGUGAAGAAGGCCUUCGGGUUGUAAAGCCCUUUUGUUGGGAAAGAAAAGCAGCAGGUUAAUACCCCGCUGUUCUGACGGUACCCAAAGAAUAAGCACCGGCUAACUUCGUG
rnacentral:rRNA from 1 species